rnacentral:rRNA from 1 species
AUUGAACGCUGGCGGAAUGCUUUACACAUGCAAGUCGAACGGCAGCACGGGGGCAACCCUGGUGGCGAGUGGCGAACGGGUGAGUAAUACAUCGGAACGUGCCCAGUCGUGGGGGAUAACUACGCGAAAGCGUAGCUAAUACCGCAUACGAUCUACGGAUGAAAGCGGGGGAUCGCAAGACCUCGCGCGAUUGGAGCGGCCGAUGGCAGAUUAGGUAGUUGGUGGGGUAAAGGCUCACCAAGCCUGCGAUCUGUAGCUGGUCUGAGAGGACGACCAGCCACACUGGGACUGAGACACGGCCCAGACUCCUACGGGAGGCAGCAGUGGGGAAUUUUGCGCAAUGGCCGAAAGGCUGACGCAGCGACGCCGCGUGAGGGAUGAAGGUCUUCGGAUCGUAAACCUCUGUUGCCCGGGACGAACAGCCUGUUUCGACAGGUCUGACGGUACCGGGUGAGGAAGCACCGGCUAACUCUGUGCCAGCCGCCGCCGUAAG